rnacentral:misc_RNA from 1 species
GAAAUGCGAUACGUAGUGUGAAUUGCAGAAUUCAGUGAAUCAUCGAAUCUUUGAACGCACAUUGCGCCCUUUGGUAUUCCAAAGGUCAUGCCUGUUCGAGCGUCAUUUGUACCCUCAAGCUUUGCUUGGUGUUGUGCGUCUUUUGUCUUUGGCCUCGCCCAAAGACUCGCCUUAAAACGAUUGGCAGCCGGCCUACUGGUUUCGCAGCGCAGCACAUUUUUGCGCUUGCAAUCAGCACAAGGACGGCAAUCCAUCAAGACUACAUUUUUACGUUUGACCUCGGAUCAGGUAGGGAUACCCGCUGAACUUAAGC